GGCAGGGUAGCUCAACCGGUUAGAGCGCGGGAUUCAUAACCCCGAGGUUGGGAGUUCAAGUCUCCCCCCCGCCACCA
rnacentral:tRNA from 1 species